rnacentral:rRNA from 1 species
UACGUAGGGGACAAGCGUUAUCCGGAUUUACUGGGCGUAAAGCGCCCGUAGGCGGCCUGAUAAGUUGGACGUGAAAGCUCCCGGCUUAACUGGGAGAGGCCGUUCAAAACUGUGAGGCUAGAGUGAGGCAGAGGAGCGCGGAAUUCCCGGUGUAGUGGUGGAAUGCGUAGAGAUCGGGAGGAACACCAGUGGCGAAAGCGGCGCUCUGGGCCUGCACUGACGCUCAUGCACGAAAGCGUGGGGAGCAAACAGG